GUAAGGCAGGGGACUGCAAAUCCUUUAUCCCCAGUUCAAAUCUGGGUGCCGCCU
rnacentral:tRNA from 1 species